GAGUUUGAUCCUGGCUCAGGAUGAACGCUGGCGGCGUGCUUAACACAUGCAAGUCGAACGAGAAUCAGUGGAUUGAGGAUUCGUCCAAAUGAAACUGAGGAAAGUGGCGGACGGGUGAGUAACGCGUGAGCAAUCUGCCUUGGAGUGGGGAAUAACGGCUGGAAACAGCCGCUAAUACCGCAUGAUACAGUUGGGAGGCAUCUCUCUGACUGUCAAAGAUUUAUCGCUCUGAGAUGAGCUCGCGUCUGAUUAGCUGGUUGGCGGGGUAACAGCCCACCAAGGCGACGAUCAGUAGCCGGACUGAGAGGUUGGCCGGCCACAUUGGGACUGAGACACGGCCCAGACUCCUACGGGAGGCAGCAGUGGGGAAUAUUGGGCAAUGGGCGCAAGCCUGACCCAGCAACGCCGCGUGAAGGAAGAAGGCUUUCGGGUUGUAAACUUCUUUUCUGGGGGACGAACAAAUGACGGUACCCCAGGAAUAAGCCACGGCUAACUACGUGCCAGCAGCCGCGGUAAUACGUAGGUGGCAAGCGUUAUCCGGAUUUAUUGGGUGUAAAGGGCGUGUAGGCGGGAAUGCAAGUCAGAUGUGAAAACUAUGGGCUCAACCCAUAGCCUGCGUUUGAAACUGUAUUUCUUGAGUGCUGGAGAGGCAAUCGGAAUUCCGUG
rnacentral:rRNA from 1 species